GCCACACCCCACACACCAAGUGCAUCACACACCACACACACAACACACACAUCACACACCACAGAUACCACACAACUCCUACCACACGCCACACAUCACACACCACAUACACAAUACACCGCAUAUCACACACCACAGAUACCACACAACUCAUACCACACAUCACACACCACAUACACAAUACACCACACACACAUCACACACUACAGACACCACACAACUCAUACCACACGCCACACAUCACACACCACCUGCAUCACACACCACACACACAACACACACAUCACACACCACAGAUACCACACAACUCAUACCACACGCCACACAUCACACACCACCUGCAUCACACACCACG
rnacentral:lncRNA from 10 species